rnacentral:ncRNA from 1 species
GACAAAACAAAGAAGAGACGAGUAGCAUGACAGGAAGUCAAAGAGAGGAAUACAGUUGGUGAGAGUAUUCUGAUGGAGUGUAAUGUGAAGACCAGCUCUGAGUGACCCCAAUCCGGUCCGGUGAUUCCGUUAUCAUCAGAAUGAGCGGUUGUACGAUAAGUACAGCAAGCAGGGUGGAACCACGAUAGAGUAUCGUCCCUGAU